CGAACGGGGAUUUUUUUAAGCCUUGCUCCGCGGGUGAGCAGUGGCGAACGGGUGNUUAAUGCGUGACCANCCUGCCCCAUGCUCCGGAAUAGCUCCUGGAAACGGGUGGUAAUGCCGGAUGUGCCGGGCUCCUGCAUGGGGGUCCGGGAAAGCUCUGGCGGCGUGGGAUGGGGUCGCGUCCUAUCAGCUUGUUGGCGGGGUGAGGGCCCACCAAGGCUUCGACGGGUAGCCGGCCUGAGAGGGCGACCGGCCACAUUGGGACUGAGAUACGGCCCAGACUCCUACGGGAGGCAGCAGUGGGGAAUAUUGCACAAUGGGCGCAAGCCUGAUGCAGCGACGCCGCGUGCGGGAUGGAGGCCUUCGGGUUGUAAACCGCUUUUGUUUGGGAGCAAGCCCUUCGGGGUGAGUGUACCUUUCGAAUAAGCACCGGCUAACUACGUGCCAGCAGCCGCGGUAAUACGUAGGGUGCGAGCGUUAUCCGGAUUUAUUGGGCGUAAAGGGCUCGUAGGCGGUUCGUCGCGUCCGGUGUGAAAGUCCAUCGCCUAACGGUGGAUCUGCGCCGGGUACGGGCGGGCUGGAGUGCGGUAGGGGAGACUGGAAUUCCCGGUGUAACGGUGGAAUGUGUAGAUAUCGGGAAGAACACCAAUGGCGAAGGCAGGUCUCUGGGCCGUUACUGACGCUGAGGAGCGAAAGCGUGGGGAGCGAACAGGAUUAGAUACCCUGGUAGUCCACGCCGUAAACGGUGGAUGCUGGAUGUGGGGCCCUUCCACGGGUCCCGUGUCGGAGCCAACGCGUUAAGCAUCCCGCCUGGGGAGUACGGCCGCAAGGCUAAAACUCAAAGAAAUUGACGGGGGCCCGCACAAGCGGCGGAGCAUGC
rnacentral:rRNA from 1 species